GACGAACGCGGGCGGCGUGCCUAAUACAUGCAAGUCGAGCGAAGUUUUUUUGGUGCUUGCACCGGAAAAACUUAGCGGCGAACGGGUGAGUAACACGUAAAGAACCUGCCUCAUAGACUGGGACAACUAUUGGAAACGAUAGCUAAUACCGGAUAACAGCAUUAACUGCAUGGUUGAUGUUUAAAAGUUGGUUUUGCUAACACUAUGAGAUGGCUUUGCGGUGCAUUAGCUAGUUGGUGGGGUAAAGGCCUACCAAGGCGACGAUGCAUAGCCGACCUGAGAGGGUGAUCGGCCACACUGGGACUGAGACACGGCCCAGACUCCUACGGGAGGCAGCAGUAGGGAAUCUUCCGCAAUGGGCGAAAGCCUGACGGAGCAACGCCGCGUGAGUGAAGAAGGAUUUCGGUUCGUAAAGCUCUGUUGUUAGGGAAGAAUGAA
rnacentral:rRNA from 1 species